ACGCCAGGAGGUUUCCAUAGUAACCACUUACUGUUAGGGAACGCCAGGAGGUUUCCAUAGUAACCACUUACUGUUAGGGAACACCAGGAGGUUUCCAUAGUAACCACUUACUGUUAGGGAACGCCAGGAGGUUUCCAUAGUAACCACUUACUGUUAGGGAACACCAGGAGGUUUCCAUAGUAACCACUUACUGUUAGGGAACACCAGGAGGUUUCCAUAGUAACCACUUACUGUUAGGGAACGCCAGGAGGUGUUCUCUACCUCAGUAU